rnacentral:rRNA from 1 species
UACGUAGGUGGCAAGCGUUGUCCGGAUUUACUGGGCGUAAAGAGCGCGCAGGCGGUCGAUCAAGUCGCGUGUGAAAGCCCCCGGCUCAACUGGGGAGGGUCACGCGAUACUGAUCGACUCGAAGGCAGGAGAGGGUAGUGGAAUUCCCGGUGUAGUGGUGAAAUGCGUAGAUAUCGGGAGGAACACCGGCGGCGAAGGCGGCCCUCUGGACGGUGACUGACGCUAAGACGCGAAAGCGUGGGGAGCAAACAGG